AGUAGUUGGACAAAAAGCAAGAAGCUGAUCGAUGUUGCUGGCUUUGGAUUCUUUGUGAACAAAUGAGACAAGGCUGCAAAUUCAGAGGAUCCUCCCAGAAGAUAAGAUGGAGCAGGUCACCACCUUCUUCCCUGCUUCACACCCUCAGGCCCCGACUCUUGUCUGCUGAGAUCACUCUCCAAACCAAUCUUCCCUUACAAAGCCCUUGUUGCAGGCUAUGCUUUCUGAGGGGAACCCAGGCCAAGACACUAAAAUGACACACCAACAUGAAGACAUGAACACAAUUGCAAAGGGAUUGGUUGGAUUGCAUAUCUCUGUGAAUGGGACUCAAGAGAAGUUUGGGAAAUGCUGGACCAGAUGACCCUUGCAAUCAUGGUGCACAGAAUUAAAACCGUCAAGUUCCCCAUCCAUCUCUGAGAUGGAUGAGAAUCUGAGUCUUCCACAAGAUGCCCAAGACUUGUUAAACCCGUGGAAUGUCUUUGGGUAUGUGUGACAUCAACAAGAAGCAGCAGACAAAACAAAAUAUUUUCACAAACAUUCAGAAAUCCCUAAAUCUUGUGAGUUGUCGUAUCAUUUGUAGAUAUAAUUAUAAAAUGGCACUUGAUGGCGAAGGCUGGUCGCAGGGUUAGGGAGCAGAGCUGAUUAGAGGACCAGUACCAAUUUCCCACCUCCUCGGUGCCAAGCUCUGGGAAGAGGGUGACAGAGAUGGCCCUGGUUCCUGGCCUCAAGGGGCCAGCAGUCCGGUGGGCAGGCAGCCUGUGCAGGUGACCUUGUACUUCAUUAGCUAAACACGAGUAUGUAUCUAUGUACACACACCUGGAAGGGAGGGAAGCUCAAUAUAGGUGGGGGGCAGGCCUCCCAAGCUGGGCUGAAAAGCAUCAGCCUUCCCAGGAUGGGACAUCUCAGCUGAGACCUGAGAAGAAAGGGCUACCUGGAUUUUAUUUUAUUUUGUUUUCUUAUUUUUGAGACAGGAUCUCAUUCUGUUGCCCAGAGGCUAGAGUACAAUGAUGCAGUCACGACUCACUGUAGCCUUGACCUCCGUAGGCUCAAGCGAUCCUCCUGUCUCAGCCUCCCAGGUAGCUGGAACCACAGGCACACACCACUGUGCCCAGCUAAUUUUUGUAUUUUUUGUAGAGACGGGGUUUCGCCAUGUUGCCCAGGCUGGUCUCAAACUCCUGGGCUCUGCCAGAGGGAUGCUAACACCGCCCACGUGCUGCAGCAGGACUUUGGAAGGGGAACCAGCACUGUAAUGAAGUGUUGGGUUGGCUCAAGUCUUGUCUGGACCACAAACCAUUUUUCAACCACUAGUGUGCCUUUAAAACCCAAACCAACUGUGAGAGUGGUUUUCUACUUUGAUUCUAGAUGGGAAAAUAUUUUGCUUUUUUGGUGGAUGACAGUGUCAGGUCCCAAAUGGAUUUGGUUUCAUCCUCCAGCACGCAUGCAUAUAACGUGAAACAUGCCCACACUCUGCAAGGGCCACAGCCACCCCACCAUUAUGUUCCAAGGCAAAUAUGCGUCCGCGGGUCCCCGGGAAAGUAAAGGAGUUUCACAUUGAGGAGCCGAGCCACACAGUCUAGCAGUUCUGAUGUCUCUCCAAGGCCCACAGAUCCUGGUCUACUAACUUAAGGCCCCUUUUGUCUAAAAUAGUGAUGUACAUUAAAUGCAAAGGGCAAAUGGAACCAUUGAAAAGUACUUUUUGCAUCCAAAACAGCCAACGCUUUGGUGCCUGCUAUGUGUCAGACACUGAUUCUUCUGUCAUCCUUAUUCUACUGAUGAGGCAACUGAGGCAGCUUCAGAGAGUUCGAGUAACCUGCGGAUCACACAACUAGGAAGUAAGAGAGCUGGAACUUGACGUUGGGCUGUUGACCUCCAGAAAUGGUGUUUUUUCCAGUACUCAGUGCUGCCUCUGACUCCAUUGUGAUGGUUGAUUUUAUGUGUCAACUUGACUGGGCCCAGGGGUACCCAGAUAUUUGGUCAAACAUUAUUCUGGGUGUUUCUGUGAGGGCGUUUUGGGUGAGAUUAACAUUUAAAUUGGUAGACUGAGUAAAGCAGAUGGCCCUCUAUGAUAUGGCCAGGCCUCAUCCAAUCCAUUGAAAGCCUGAAUGGAACAAAAAGGCCAACCCUCCCUCAGUAGGAGGAAAUUUCGUCUGCUUGGGUUGUCUUCAGGGAAGAGAGCAGUUCUCACUCAACAAUCAGACAUAACUCUGUCUUAUAACAAAAUUGCACCCAUGGAGCGUCUAGGAACUCCCUACCCAAAGUGUGGUCUGUGGGCCAGCAGCACCUGCGUCAUCUGGGAACUUGUAAGAAAUGGGAUUCUUAGCAGAUCCCAGACCCUGCUGCAUCAGAACCUGCAUUUUAAUGAGAUCCCAGGUGAUUUGUGUACCUGUGAAAAUGUAAGAAGCCCCACUCCAGGGCAUACACAUCCCACUGAUAGGAAUGGAAUCAGGACUAUUACAUAUUUUGGAAAUAUUUUUAAACAAUUAAGAAAAAAGUGAUAAAAAAUUUCCUUAUUAAAUUAGCAAAGAUCCAAAAUGAAAGAUUAUCCCAAUAUUUUUGUUAAAUAGAUACUUUUUUUGUUAGACACUGCUGGUGGGAAUAUAAAUACAAUGUUUCUUAGUAUAAUGUUUCUAAAGGGCAAAUUGUUAGAGAAGUCUGAGAACAAAUGCUCUGCCUUUUUUAAGAAUUGACAGAUAAAAUGGUAUGUAUUUUUCAUGUACAACAUGAUGUUUUAAAGUAUUUGCACAUUGUGGAAUGGUUAAAUUUAGCCAGUUACCUCACAGAGGUUUUUUUGUGUGUGAAAACACUUAAUAUCCACUUUCUUUGCAUUUUUCAAGAAUACAGUAUAUUGUUGCAAGUGGAUGGCAAGCUUCCUUGUGACUUCUCAUCCUGGCAAUUUUCUGGAGUGUUUGUGACUGGACUUUAACAUUUCCAAAAUGUGGCGACAGUGACUGUUAAGUCUUCCCAAAGACGAGGGUUCCUGGGAGCCCCAGGGUGCUGCAAGCAUCAGGACAGCAGAGACCAAAUUCAUCAUUGAAUCCUCAACAUCUAGCACAAUAUGCCUGGCAUAAGAUAUCAGUAGGACAUCCCCCAGUCACUAUGACAAAUGAAGCACACAAAUUGCUAAAAUGGUUCUGAUCCAUUGAGAACCCUUAGAGGAGAGAGGGCUUCAAAUCGUCCAAGGGAGCAACUGCAAAGAAAAGACAGGUGUGAGAGCCAAUGGGGUGUGCCAUGCUGAAAGUAACGUGUCUGCUUUCCAAUCAAAUACUGGAACCGGGUACAACAUGGUGUACCAUCUGGCAUCUCCUCCAUGAUGGCAGAAGGAACUGCCCUCUCUUAGUCCACCCCCACCUCCCAUCUGUCCUCUCCUCAGUUGCACAUGUUCCCAGCUGUGUUCACCAUCAGGGAGGUUUUCAUCCAUGUCCAACCUCCUAACAAGGAACUCUGGAUUCCAGCUAGAAGAUGGGGACAGAGAAAUGUUUAAAGGCACUCCUAAUGUCAACAAGAAGAAUCAAAUUAAACAAAAAAGCUUCUGAGUGGGGUCCAGGUAAGAAAACUCUUUAAGCAUGAUUUUCCCAUCUGUUUAAUUUCUUAUGCUGAAAAA
rnacentral:lncRNA from 1 species